GACGAACGCUGGCGGCGUGCCUAAUACAUGCAAGUCGAGCGAAGUUUUUCUGGUGCUUGCACUAGAAAAACUUAGCGGCGAACGGGUGAGUAACACGUAAAGAACCUGCCUCAUAGACAGGGACAACUAUUGGAAACGAUAGCUAAUACCGGAUGACAGUAUUUCUCGCAUGAGAGCUAUUUAAAAGUUGGUUAUGCUAACACUAUGAGAUGGCUUUGCGGUGCAUUAGCUAGUUGGUGGGGUAAAGGCCCACCAAGGCGACGAUGCAUAGCCGACCUGAGAGGAUGAUCGGCCACACUGGGACUGAGACACGGCCCAGACUCCUACGGGAGGCAGCAGUAGGGAAUCUUCCGCAAUGGGCGAAAGCCUGACGGAGCAACGCCGCGUGAGUGAAGAAGGAUUUCGGUUCGUAAAGCUCUGUUGUUAGGGAAGAAUGGAUAUGUAGUAACUAUACAUGUAAGAGACGGUACCUAACCAGAAAGCCACGGCUAACUACGUG
rnacentral:rRNA from 1 species